GAUGCCUCUUACAAGAAGGCACAUGAUUCCACGUCCCAACUUUGGCCCCUCCUUUCCCUCAAAAGCAACCACAUUUUGAAUAAAGUUCGAAAACAAAGCAUCAUCACCUUUAUUUUCCUUGUUGGGUUCUCUUAUUCUUGUACACAUCCCCUGUCAAAAAUCACAAAGAUCAGGUGCUUUCCUUUUCUACAUCGAGCAAGCUCAAAUACAACUCUGUCUAGGAAGUUCCUAGUCUCUCACCAAUCAUGUACGUAUUUAGUAGAAGAAAAACUCGUCUACAUGCAACUGCAUAUGUUAAUUUAAGUUUCAAUCUUUCCUUUGUAUUUUGUCCGUGCCUGUUAAACAUUCAAGCUGAAGAAAGAACUACUACUGCAGAAAUCUAAAACUUUUCCACUCAGAAUCUAAAUUGGAGCUGACUUCCAUCUAACAAGAGAUGGGAAAUACUAAUCACAUAUGCCAUUGUCCCAGCACGUUGCUCAAGAACAUAAAAUUUCCUCCUAUUUUACUGAACUGUCUUUUUCCCUCGGUAUACUACUACUAAAAACUCUCAGUGUAGGAUAUUAUAGGUCACAACUUUUGGCACGCAUGCCAAAGAAGCUUCUCUCACUGCGUCAUGUCUAGGUUGUAUUGUGCCCUUUUUGAAUUGGUGGACUGCUUUCAGAAUCCGAUCCUACAAGAUAAAGUAAAAUCUGAGUUGAUGUUGCUCUGUUUUUGGCAUAUUCUUGUGGAUGGGAUCAAUGCGAGGCUUGUAAACCUCCAAGAAUAGUAGCUCAAAGAGGAACUAUCAAAAGAUAAUCCCUUUUCCUAUCACUUUCUUAAUUUUGAACCAACGGAAUUCUACCUUAUCUGAAAUUAAUGCAGGCUUUAACUCAAAUUACAGCAUUCCAAUGACUUUUUUCUUUCAAAAGAAUGUUAUGUUAGAAGCUUGCUCUUGGAUUAUGCCCCUGAAUUUGGUCUCUAGGUCACUUGGGUUAGAGAAGAACACGUUUAUAGAGGAACGAGUCCAGAAAAAACUUAGAACUGACUAACUAUGCAAAUCUUAAAUUUUGAUACACUUAAUAAUACUUCUAUUGGAUGAUGGGUCCAUCUAGAUUUCCCUUUAUUACCAUAUAAAGUGACCAUCCCACUUGUUCCUUUAUCCACUGCAAAUGCCCUGAGAUAUUUUAUAUCUCAACUCUUAUUAUAUGUAUACAAUCGCUUAUAGUCUAGGUUCCUUCCCAAUCAUUCUCAUUUUAAUCAAUUAAGAACUUAUUCUUCUUCUUUGUCCAUAUAAUAUUUUAUAAGAAUGUCAAAAGUUUUUGUUUGUGAUAACACCUAAUUUGAGAUUGUAUCAAUCAUUUAGCAUGCUCCCCCAUUUUAGAUCAUCAAGGGUACAUUCAACGUACUGAAUAUUAUGUUUGGUCAAUAUUAUGUUUUCUUUUAAGCUGUUAAGAGUUUUAGGCUAAUCGAUUUACCUACUAUAUGUUAACCAAUAUUUGGUGUUAAAAUAUCAGGAUCUCAAUGUUAAGGUAAUAUUUUUUACAUGCUUGUUCUUUAUCUAAUCUGUCUCCACUGUGGUAUUUCUUGUGCAUGAUACCUGGUAUGUUGUUAAAUUAGUGUCAAAGAUUCCAAUCUUAAUCCCUUCCUAAACUGUGCUAGAAAUUCGUUGGUAAUUCUUUUUUUUUUUUAAUAAACAAAUUAAUGCUUGUUGGGAUAAACUAGUUAUCAAAAGCUAAUUUGAAGUAUAACAGCGGAAGCAAACAAAAGAAAACCCGACAAUCACACAAAGAAACAUCAAGGUUUAGGUGGUUUGGUUUAGAACAACCCUACAUCCACUGGCAAAGUCAAUCUUAAAAGGAAUUCACUAACAAAGAUAGAGUACAAGAGGGGUAUAACAAAUUACUCCUCAAUCCCAAAGUGUAAUGCCCUAGUCCCAAAUGGGUCGGAGAGUUAUUUCUUAUAACUUAAAAUCAUAUCUUCACAAUACAAGUGAUACUUCUAAAUACUUCAUAAACAUAAAAUUCAAUCCAUCUCUUAUAAUGCAAAUCACAUAUCUACUUGUUCCCACACAAAACAUAAACUUAUUCAUUGAGUUAAACCACAUAUAUUCCUCUACAAGAUCUUCCUUAAUUAAUCAUAACAUAAAAACCAGAAAUUUGUAAGUCUCAAAACUUCAAAUUUCACACACUAAAAUCCAACUAUUCAUAAGAUAACUCUCAACUUCCCACAACCAGCCAAUCUUGCCUAAACUUCUAUUCUUGAUCACCAAAUGUAUUGUCUAAAUCAUCUGAAAAAUAUUAUGAAGAUAAAAGGUGAGUUAUCAACACCUCAGUAAGCAAAUAACAUAUGCCAGUAUGCAAAUAUGAGCAUUUACAAAGCACAAUAUGCAGAACAAAAAUAUCUUUCAAAAUUAGCAUGCAAAACAAGACAUAUUUUCAAAUGUAACAGAGUGAUGGUUUUAAGAUACAUAAAACCCAGAGUACUUCGGCAUAACGAAACUGAGCAUCAUCAUCACAUCAAAACAGAGCAUCUCACAAAGUAGAGACCAUGUUUAACCCUCGUGGUAGUGUUGUGGUAUCCCCAGUGCCCAAACCGGGUAGAGACAGAGGUGAAUUUUUUCUUUAUUAUUCUCGGAGCCCUGAGUGUGCACACAAGACAAACCAUAUAAAACCACUUUGUCUCCAAAGUGGGUACACUUAGAGACGGAGAAGUUGGUACCAACCCAAACAAAGCAGAGCAGAACAUAGACAAAGUCAGAUACAAAAUCAUUACACCAUGCCAAAUGUUUU